GUAGGGUGCGAGCGUUAAUCGGAAUUACUGGGCGUAAAGCGUGCGCAGGCGGUUAUGUAAGACAGAUGUGAAAUCCCCGGGCUCAACCUGGGAACUGCAUUAGUGACUGCAUAGCUGGAGUACGGCAGAGGGGGAUGGAAUUCCGCGUGUAGCAGUGAAAUGCGUAGAUAUGCGGAGGAACACCGAUGGCGAAGGCAAUCCCCUGGGCCUGUACUGACGCUCAUGCACGAAGGGCGUGGGGAGCAAACAGGAUUAGAUACCCUGGUAGUCCCACGCCCUAAACGAUGUCAACUGGUUGUUGGGUCUUCACUGACUCAGUAACGAAGCUAACGCGUGAAGUUGACCGCCUGGGGAGUACGGCCGCAAGGUUG
rnacentral:rRNA from 1 species